AUACGGAGGGUGCAAGCGUUACUCGGAAUCACUGGGCGUAAAGCGCGCGCAGGCGGGCUGAUAAGUUGGAUGUGAAAGCCUACGGCUCAACCGUAGAACUGCAUCCAAAACUGUCAGUCUAGAGUGUGGGAGAGGAAGAUGGAAUUAGCUGUGUAGGGGUAAAAUCCGUAGAGAUAACUAGGAAUACCAAAAGCGAAGGCAAUCUUCUGGAACACUACUGACGCUGAGGCGCGAAGGCGUGGGGAGCAAACAGGAUUAGAAACCCUAGUAGUCC
rnacentral:rRNA from 1 species